AUUGAACGCUGGCGGCAGGCCUAACACAUGCCAGUCGAGCGGAUGAAGGGAGCUUGCUCCUGGAUUCAGCGGCGGACGGGUGAGUAAUGCCUAGGAAUCUGCCUGGUAGUGGGGGAUAACGUCCGGAAACGGGCGCUAAUACCGCAUACGUCCUGAGGGAGAAAGUGGGGGAUCUUCGGACCUCACGCUAUCAGAUGAGCCUAGGUCGGAUUAGCUAGUUGGUGGGGUAAAGGCCUACCAAGGCGACGAUCCGUAACUGGUCUGAGAGGAUGAUCAGUCACACUGGAACUGAGACACGGUCCAGACUCCUACGGGAGGCAGCAGUGGGGAAUAUUGGACAAUGGGCGAAAGCCUGAUCCAGCCAUGCCGCGUGUGUGAAGAAGGUCUUCGGAUUGUAAAGCACUUUAAGUUGGGAGGAAGGGCAGUAAGUUAAUACCUUGCUGUUGUGACGUGACCAACAGAAUAAGCACCGGCUAACUUCG
rnacentral:rRNA from 1 species